CUACGGGCGGCACCAGUAGGGAAUCUUAGACAAUGGGGGAAACCCUGAUCUAGCCAUGCCGCGUGAGUGAUGAAGGCCUUAGGGUUGUAAAGCUCUUUCGCUGGGGAAGAUAAUGACGGUACCCAGUAAAGAAACCCCGGCUAACUCCGUGCCAGCAGCCGCGGUAAUACGGAGGGGGUUAGCGUUGUUCGGAAUUACUGGGCGUAAAGCGCGCGUAGGCGGGCUAUUAAGUCAGGGGUGAAAUCCCGGGGCUCAACCCCGGAACUGCCUUUGAUACUGGUAGUCUUGAGUUCGAGAGAGGUGAGUGGAAUUCCGAGUGUAGAGGUGAAAUUCGUAGAUAUUCGGAGGAUCAUCAGUGGCGAAGGCGACUCACUGGCUCGAUACUGACGCUGAGGUGCGAAAGUGUGGGGAGCAAACAGGAUUAGAUACCGCGUAGUC
rnacentral:rRNA from 1 species